UACGUAGGGUGCAAGCGUUGUCCGGAUUUAUUGGGCGUAAAGAGCGUGUAGGCGGCCAAGCAGGUCCGCUGUGAAAACUCGAGGCUCAACCUCGAGACGUCGGUGGAAACCGUUUGGCUAGAGUCCGGAAGAGGAGAGUGGAAUUCCCGGUGUAGCGGUGAAAUGCGCAGAUAUCGGGAAGAACACCCGUGGCGAAGGCGGCUCUCUGGGACGGUACUGACGCUGAGACGCGAAAGCGUGGGGAGCAAACAGG
rnacentral:rRNA from 1 species